GGGACACACGCGUGGGUAAGGAAACAAUGUACCAAAAGCUCUUAACGAUGUGACCAGAGAUCAACUUCUCCACCGAACGAAACAGGCACUCGAUAGUACUGUGUUUUUCUGAGGAGAUACAUGC
rnacentral:snoRNA from 1 species